rnacentral:rRNA from 1 species
GAUGAACGCUGGCGGCGUGCCUAACACAUGCAAGUCGAGCGAUUCUCUUCGGAGAAGAGCGGCGGACGGGUGAGUAACGCGUGGGUAACCUGCCUUGUACAGGGGGAUAACAGUUGGAAACGACUGCUAAUACCGCAUAAGCGCACAGUACCGCAUGGUACGGUGUGAAAAACUCCGGUGGUACAAGAUGGACCCGCGUCUGAUUAGCUAGUUGGUGAGGUAACGGCCCACCAAGGCAACGAUCAGUAGCCGACUUGAGAGAGUGAUCGGCCACAUUGGGACUGAGACACGGCCCAAACUCCUACGGGAGGCAGCAGUAGGGAAUAUUGCACAAUGGGGGAAACCCUGAUGCAGCGACGCCGCGUGAAGGAUGAAGUAUUUCGGUAUGUAAACUUCUAUCAGCAAGGAAGAAAAUGACGGUACUUGACUAAGAAG